rnacentral:tRNA from 1 species
GAGGGUGCAGCUCAGUGGUAGAGUGUGUGCUUAGCAUGCACCAGGUCCGGGGUUCAAUCCCCAGUACCUCCA